GUGAGUGUUUUGAGGCUGAUUCUGUGUUACUUUAUGUUAGCUCCAUACUGAUGUCACGCCCAUGAAUCUUGUUAUAUAAAGGUAUCCUGUGCAGUAGAGCCACAUCUGCGACCCUGACU